rnacentral:rRNA from 1 species
GUUAAGCGACUAAGCGUACACGGUGGAUGCCCUGGCAGUCAGAGGCGAUGAAGGGCGUGCUAAUCUGCGAUAAGCGCCGGUAAGGUGAUAUGAACCGUUAUAACCGGCGAUACCCGAAUGGGGAAACCCAGUGUGAUUCGUCACACUAUCAUUAACUGAAUCCAUAGGUUAAUGAGGCGAACCGGGGGAACUGAAACAUCUAAGUACCCCGAGGAAAAGAAAUCAACCGAGAUUCCCCCAGUAGCGGCGAGCGAACGGGGAGGAGCCCAGAGCCUGAAUCAGCAUGUGUGUUAGUGGAAGCGUCUGGAAAGGCGCGCGAUACAGGGUGACAGCCCCGUACACAAAAGCGCAUGUGCUGUGAGCUCGAUGAGUAGGGCGGGACACGUGGUAUCCUGUCUGAAUAUGGGGGGACCAUCCUCCAAGGCUAAAUACUCCUGACUGACCGAUAGUGAACCAGUACCGUGAGGGAAAGGCGAAAAGAACCCCGGCGAGGGGAGUGAAAAAGAACCUGAAACCGUGUACGUACAAGCAGUGGGAGCACCCUUCGGGGUGUGACUGCGUACCUUUUGUAUAAUGGGUCAGCGACUUAUAUUCUGUAGCAAGGUUAACCGUAUAG